rnacentral:rRNA from 1 species
UACGUAGGGUGCAAGCGUUAAUCGGAAUUACUGGGCGUAAAGCGUGCGCAGGCGGUUGUGCAAGACAGAUGUGAAAUCCCCGGGCUCAACCUGGGAACUGCAUUUGUGACUGCACGGCUAGAGUGUGCCAGAGGGGGGUAGAAUUCCACGUGUAGCAGUGAAAUGCGUAGAUAUGUGGAGGAAUACCGAUGGCGAAGGCAGCCCCCUGGGAUAACACUGACGCUCAUGCACGAAAGCGUGGGGAGCAAACAGG